rnacentral:lncRNA from 1 species
GGAGAUACGGCAGCUCCGCCACGUCCGAUUCCGCGAUCAACCGCCUGCAUCCCACGUGGCCGUCGAUUUCGGAUUGCGCUUUUUUUAGGAUUUCUGGAUUGUCCAGCAGCAGAGAAAAUGCCCAUUCUAGGGCGAUUGUUGAAGUUGAGGUUCCUCCUUGGAGCAGCACCUGAAAUUAUUAAUUAAUUUCUUUAUUGUUUUAAAUAAAUCUCCCACGAUGCUUCACAUUCUCAAUUUGUAAAUUCUAAUGACUCCGUGUGGGUUGAAUAUGAAAUUUAUUUAGAAAAAUAAUGCGAAAAGAGUUGAAUAAUAAAUUCAGCAUAUUUUAUUCAAGGAUCUCCUUCAAGCAGUAUUUUAUUAUAGCGAACAAGUAACAACCAAGGCUGGUAAUGCUGAGUUCAUGUAUGAUUGAAUAAAAUAUAAGAUCAUGACACAAACCAUCAUGAGUCAUCAAGUAUGUAAGCAUCAACUAUAAUUUAUAUUGUUCUGAGUUCAUUUGGAAAUAAAUUAAAAUUAGGGCGUGUUUGGUUUUGGGUUUUACAGCAUAUUAGUUAAGUUAAUACAGAGUAGUAAAGAGUUUGGUAUUUUAUAACACUUAUGCGGACGGUUCUGCGAUAUGUGAAGGCCCUGAGCUAAAAAUCCGGAUUGCGCAGGAUAAUUAAUACCGCCCCCCUCGGAUUACGCAGGAUAAUUAAUACGGCAUUGCAAUUGUGUCAAUUUUUAAGCUUAUCUAACCUUGAAAUAUGAAUACCAAACGAAAAUCAUGAUUAAUUAACCAUAAUAACAAACAACCAACCAAUAUUAGUAACACAUAUUUAUCCAUGCUAAUAAUCUAAUUUACUAACUAUACUGACUAAUUCCUUACCCAAAACCAAACACGCCCUUAGUGUUCAAAAUCAAUGAAUAUUUCGCUAAAUUUAAAUUGUUGAUUAGAGUUUUGGUAGGUUAUAGUAAUUUAAUUUAAUUUUAUCCACAUCUACAUAUUCUUAAUUGCAGAUAUUAUACCUUAUGAUUCAUAUUGGAUGAACAAGUAUUAAUUAUUGUGACAAAUAUCUUGAAUUUUAUCAACAUUUUCUGUCAUUUCUUAAUAGUGAAGACAAUCAAAAUUCUAGUUAGAGAUUAUCCUAACAAACGUGCAAGUUGCAAUCAACAAACUCAAAGAACCAAUAGAAUUAAAGAGGCAUAUUUGGUAAGUUCAGCGAAUAAGCAUAUAUCUUGAGUAAUCCGAUUAAUUUAUAAACUGAGGUUUAUUGCUGCUGACAGCCUGUAUUAUCCCAUGACACUGCACUAUUUCUUUUGCGGAAGUUAAUUUGAUUUAAGUGAUAAACACAUGAUUGAUAAAAUAAUUUUAUUUAAUCAAAUGUUCGAUUUAAUAACUUGACUUGCAGCCUAAUCAUAUAAUUUGAUGAUUAUUUAACACCUUAAAGUUAAAUUAAUUAUUUAAUCAUCCUGGAUCCUAUCUUAUAAAUCUUAUUUAUCACGUGCACCGAACCAAACUUUUCCUUAUAAUAUAUAUUUCCUAAACAAAAGUACAUGAUCACUAGCUAAUUUGCAUACAUGAGAAUAUUUUGAAUUAUCUUCAAAUUAGUGCGGUAUGGAAUAUCAUUAAAGAUUUUUAUAAAUAAUUUGUGUAUGAUAACUAUUACCGUCAAUGCAAAAUUUAAAUUUGUUCUACAACAAAUCUAUUAAUAAUUUUCAUAACAUAGUGUAUCACUAGCUAAAGCAAUUAUUAUUGAUUUGCUUUUGUGAAAAUAAUAAAAAUAUCCACAUUACAUUAAUAUAUAUCACAGAAUUUAAAUUAGAAGAUCUUAAUUUAAGAGAAUUAUGUUUGAGACUCUGCUGAAUUGGAAGUUUAAUAUAAAAAGAAGAAAUAAAAACCCUUGAAUGCACAAGACGCAAGCAAGGAACAGAGACUCUAAAAGAGUCCGAAAAACAAAAACAACAACGCGCAGAAAAGUCUAAACGUUACCGCAAAAACCAACAAUCAAAAAGUAAAAUCCAUAUUGGAAUGAUAAUCAUCCUUGUUGCGAUCAUUUUCCAUGUCUAUUACAUCCGACCAACGGAUGUUCGGAAUAUUGGAAUGAUAAUCAUCCUUGUUGCGAUCAUUUUCCAUGUCUAUUACAUCCGACCAACGGAUGUUCGGAAUAUUGUUCAUAGUACGCAUCGCGUUGCUGCUACUAUGAUCAACCACGAAGUUGUUCUGCUGAAAUCCAAUACCCUCCGCAUUUCUUAGGCGGUUUUUAACGCUAUUAGUCGGAACUGCAUGUACAAGCUCCCUUCCUUUUCCCGAGCCUUUUGGACGGCCACGUCCGCGCUUCGGCUCCGAGGGCAAUAACAUCUCUUGAUUAACCUGGUCCUCUAACCGAUUUAUACGACUAGCAAUAUCCUCCGGAGUAGGAUUGGACUGCUUAUCUCCAACAACCUCCUUUUGAAUCGAAUAAUGAACCUGCUCACUCACAAAACCAUCUGUCCCAACCUCCGACUGCUGCUCCGCCACUGCAUCCUUAAGCGCCAAAGUUUCAUUUCGCAAGCUAUUGCCCUCCUCUGCAGCAGCUGCCACAUUCUUCGCAAGAUUCACGACUCCAUUCGGCGUCUCCAUCUCUAUUUCCUCAUCCACAUCCUCAUCGUUGCCAUCCAGUUGAUGCUCCGAAGUUACCGGGACAAGCACAACUUCCAACGAAUCAGGCCCUGACAAAAAACGGUCAUCCCUCUCGUUCACCUCCUCAUGGGACGUCACAACCUGCUCCAUAACAUUCGACUGUAAAGCAGCAAACCUAUUCUCAAUAAGGGUUGCAGCGCAUGAUGAGACCUUCUGCUGCACCGCAUGCUGUUCCUCGACAACCUCUUGUCGUAUCAAGUUAUUUCCAUGUGCUGGUGAAGCCCGCACCUGUUCAGAUUGUAGCCCCACCGGAAUCGAUUCACCCCAAGAAAUCCCUGGCUCAGAAACCUCCUGCCAUUGUUUCGCCAUUGCUUGUUGUUUUCCAGCCUGCUUCAUAGUAGCCUCCACUGGCGGAUUAGUUUUACGACACUUAUCGGGAGGAUGCCCCGUAAUCUUACAUUUGGAACAAUAAUACGGUAAGUACUCGUAAGUAAACUCAACAUGAAAAGAAUAGUCACCCCCAUCAAAAAGAAGCGUGGUAGGGAGAGAUUUGGACAUAUCUAACUCCACAAGAACACGCGCGAACUGUCCGAAAUCUCGAGUAAUCGAAGCACCAUCAAUCUUCAGCGGAUGGCCCACGAAACGUGCAAUUCCAGCCAGCACCUCCGCAUGCCAAUAUUCGAUAGGCAAAUAAUGUAUACGAAUCCAAACGUUUGCCAACGACGAGAGUUCUUUAAACGGAUCAAAGUUCUUCACCCACUCGCGAAGGCGGAGAUGUCCAUUAAAAACUUCCCAAAUCAACUUGGCUUUAGCUCGUUGUUUAUCCGCUGCGUUCUGGAAGACUAUGGUAUAGUAUCCUUUACCCAAAGGAAUGAGUUGCCAAGGCGAACUUAUAUUCCACAUGUUAUGAAGCUCAUUUUUAAUCAUCAACGCAGGCUUGGGCUUCUCCCCUUUGUUUAACAACAACCUUCCCGUCAAAGCAUGAUUAAGGUCAGAAAUCUGUUUCAAAUGAAGCUCUGUAGGCAUCUUGAAACAGUAGUGAUCACCUUCUUUUGUAGGGCGUAGAGCAUGAUAAUGAUGUGCAGCAACAUCCGGACGACGCGGCGUCCGAUUCGCAGUAAUAUCGACAUAUGAUUUGACAAGAGUCGUCUCAGCCGUCUUCUGUUGGGAGCGGUUAUUUGCUGGCACAAUAUAAGAAUUAUUCCCUGGAAGAUUGGCAUUAGGAGCCAUGUUUCGACUGCGCUGAUCAGCAGACGAGCCAUCUACAUGAAACUGGUGUGACGCAGGCUGAACAGAUCCCGCCAACCCCAUAGGCGGGCUAGGGUUCCGGUGCAGCUGAGAUGCCUCUGGCAGAAGAGAGCUUGACACAGUAGCAAUUCGUCCCGAUGGGCUAGGAUUUUUCUUGUGUGGCAGGGAAGAAUUAUGAGUAAAAUUGUUGGAGACAACCGGUAGGUUAAGCCCACCCGUUGACAUGAUUGCAGAAGCGGCGGCGGCGGCAAGAGAUUUCCGAGCGAGCAGCGUCUAACAGCUGGUUGCGGCGUGUUGAUUCCUCCAACGGCGGAGGCGAGCAGGGGCACGGCUGUCGGCGGAGGCGAGCAGCGGUAGAGUCUCGCUGAAACGGCCUUCCGCCCAGAUGGCAGCGGUACGGCGGCUGCUCGGUCGGUCAACGGCCGGUCGUGGGGUCUCGGCUGAAAGCCUCUCUCAUCCUUGCCCAGGUGAACCACGGCAUGCGGAGGAGGCGGCGCUGAGGCUGCUGCUGACGUGCCGUGGUGUGUACUGCCGGAGGAGCGAGUCGAUCAGCGGCUGCGGGAGGAGAAGGCUGCUGCCGACGUGCCGUGGUGUGACCGGAGGAGGAGGGGUGGGGAUCCCCUUUUUGGCUCCUCCGUAUGGGCGCGGCGGAGAUGGCGCAAAGUCACUCACGCCUCCUUAAAGUCACGCACGCAUCCCAUUUUUCAAAAGAUGAACAGUGCAGAGCACUUUCAAAAGAUGAACAGUGCAGAGCACUUUUAUAUAAUCACACGAAACUUGAAUAAGAUUCCCCAAAUAUAUAUGUACAUAUUUAUAUCAUAUGUAAGCUAGUCUACGCAGCUAAUGUAUUUUUAAUUUUGAUGUGAUUUAUAUGACAAUCGAAUACAUUAUAUAGGUGCUUACAGAAGUGCUUAUAAUAUAUAUAUAUAUGUGUGUGUGUGUGUGUGUGUCAUGUGGUGGCUAAUAAAGUUCACAACCUAGGCAUGCAGUAAAUUUAAGUAUUAUGCGUGUGCAUAAAAGGAAACAAAUACAGAUGCAUGCAUCAUGCAGUGUUAUCAAUCUCAUGGAAAACCAAAUCCAAUAAUGCAACGCACAAACAAUUUGGAUGGCAUCUAUUUCUAGUCUAAUUAUCCAAUUCUGCAAUCACAAUAAUAAAGUUAUCUAAUAUUGAUGCAAUCUUUAGCUUACACCAAAAAUAUAUCACAAAAUGUGUCACGAUAUUUUUAGGUAUAACAAAGUAUAGCUAUAUUCACACAUAUAUUUACAUACUUUUGUUACACACAUAAAAAUAUAAGUGAAUUUUAUAAAAAAAUAAAUAUACAAUAAAUUUUGUAACAUCUAAAUUAUCUCAAAAUANCUCAGAAGCAUUUUUUGAGUUAGGCCCAUUCUCUUUCUUUAUCACUGGACCAAUGCUGUCAGUAGAGUAGUAUCAAUUUAAUUUAGCCGAAUGGAACCUAAUAAUUAUGAACAUUUUAGAAACUCUUCCUUUUAAUUCCAAAAUAUUCAGAAACUUAUAUUUGAGUUGUUAGUAAAAUUAAUUAAAACUCGAAUCCAAUUUAGCUAAUUAAUAUACUCUACUGAUUCUCUGAUGAAAACAAAUUAAGUUAACAACUAUUCAGAAUGUGUAUCAAUACAAAAUGAUAUCAUUAUAAUUAUAUAAAAGUAUUAUUUGGAGAAAAGGAGGAUAGAUUAGGUUAAGAGAAAAAAUGAUGAAUAAAUGGACGAGGCGUACAUUUAGCCAUUAAUGGUUGAACCUUAGGCGUUGUGGUUCCAGCACCUUCGGUCAUAUCAAUCUCCCCAACUUUGUCCCAUUGGAAACACUGGAUCAAGGAUCCGAGGCCCAGCCCGAUAUUCAAGUUGGCCAAGUUCUCGCCCGGGCAGGCCCGUCUACCCGACCCGAAAGGGAAAAACUGCAGCCCCAAAUCCUUCUUCACAUCCACUCCCUCAAAGCGUUCGGGCCUGAAAGUCUCCGGGUCGGCCCAUAUUUUGGGGCUGUUGUGGAUUUCCCACAAAUUCACCAGCAAGACCGUCCCCGCCGGUACCCGGUAGCCGCCCACCGCGCACUCCGACGACGAGAGGUGCGGCAUCACUAUGGACACCGGAGGGUGCAGCCGCAUCGCCUCUAGGAUGAUGUGCCGGAGAUACGGCAGCUCCGCCACGUCCGAUUCCGCGAUCAACCGCCUGCAUCCCACGUGGCCGUCGAUUUCGGAUUGCGCUUUUUUUAGGAUUUCUGGAUUGUCCAGCAGCAGAGAAAAUGCCCAUUCUAGGGCGAUUGUUGAAGUUGAGGUUCCUCCUUGGAGCAGCACCUGAAAUUAUUAAUUAAUUUCUUUAUUGUUUUAAAUAAAUCUCCCACGAUGCUUCACAUUCUCAAUUUGUAAAU